rnacentral:rRNA from 1 species
CGUGUAGGCGGUGCGGUAAGUUGGGCGUGAAAUCCCCGAGCUUAACUCGGGUGGGCCGUUCAAGACUGCCGUGCUAGGGUGCGGGAGAGGGAAGUGGAAUUUCCGGUGUAGCGGUGAAAUGCGUAGAUAUCGGGAGGAACACCUGCGGCGAAGGCGGCUUCCUGGACCGUAACCGACGCUGAGGCGCGAAAGCUAGGGGAGCAAACAGGAUUAGAUACCCUGGUAGUCCUAGCCCUAAACGAUGAGCACUGGGUGUGGCCCCUCACGGGGCCGUGCCGAAGCUAACGCAUUAAGUGCUCCGCCUGGGGAGUACGGCCGCAAGGCUGAA